rnacentral:rRNA from 1 species
GGGGGAAAAUUAAUUAAAUAAAAUUAAUAAAAUAAAUUUUAAAGUUAAAAAUAAAUAAUGGGGGUUAAAGUAUUUUUAAUAGAAAAAAUUUAAAAUUUUAUAGGGGAUAAGUAUUGUAGGGGAAAUUUGAAAUAAUUAAAAAAUUAAUUAUUAAAAAAGAAAAUUUAAUUUAUUGUAUCUUGUGUAUCAGAGUUUAUUAAAUAUUUUUUUUAGUUAAAAAAAUCUCGAAUUUAAAAGAGUUAAUUAAUUAUAAAAUUUAAUGUAACAUAAUUAUUUUAGAUAAUUAAUUAGAAAUGAAAUGUUAAUCGUUUUUAAAUAUAUCUAGUUAUUUUAGAAAAAAAUUUAAUUUUAAAUUAAUAUAAUUUUAUAAUUUAAUAUGAAAAAUUAUAAAAAUUUGAAUUUAAUAUUUUAAGGGAUAAGCUUUAAAUUAAAAAUUUAUAAUAAUAAUAAAUUAAAAUUAAAAUUUUUAAAAUUUAUAUUGUUUAAAAAUUAUAAUUUAUUAUAAAAAAUUUUAAUAAAAAUAAAAUUUAAAAGAAAAAAAUUUAAAUUUUUAUAAAAAAAUAAUUUUUAAUAGGCUAAUAUUAGUAAUAAUGAUAAAAUUAGUAUAAAAAUAAUAAAAAAUAUAAAUUAAAAUUAAAGGUAAUUAAAAGGAAUUCGGCAAAUAAAGUAUUCACUUGUUUAACAAAAACAUGUCUUUUUGAGUAUAAUUUAAAGUCUAAUCUGCCCACUGAUAAAUAUUAAAGGGCUGCAGUAUAUUGACUGUACAAAGGUAGCAAAAUCAUUAGUUUUUUAAUUGAAAACUUGUAUGAAAGAUUUGAUGAAAUAUAAACUGUCUCUUAGUGUUAUUAUUAUAAUUUUAUUUUUUAGUUAAAAAGCUAAAAUAAUUUUAAAAGACGAGAAGACCCUAUAGAGUUUUAUAUUUAAUUAUUUUUUAAAAAUAUAUAUAAAUUAAUGUUAAAAUAUAAUUAAAUAUUGUAUUGGGGUGAUAGAAAAAUUAAAAUAACUUUUUUUAAAAAUUAAACAUAAAUAAAUGAUAGUAGGAUCCAUAAAUAAUGAUUAUAAGAAAAAAUUACCUUAGGGAUAACAGCGUAAUAUUUUUUUUUAGUUCAAAUAAAAAAAAAAGUUUGCGACCUCGAUGUUGGAUUAAGAUAAAAUUUAAAUGCAAAAGUUUAAAGUUUUGAUCUGUUCGAUCAUUAAAAUCUUACAUGAUCUGAGUUCAAACCGGUGUAAGCCAGGUUGGUUUCUAUCUUUAAAAAAUUUAAAAUAUUUUA